GGUCAUGAGCGCCAGCGUCAAGCCCCGGCUUGCUGGCCGGCAACCCUCCAACCGCGGUGGGGUGCCCCGGGUGAUGACCAGGUUGAGUAGCCCAACCGGCUACGCGGCAAGCGCGGGUC
rnacentral:ncRNA from 2 species